rnacentral:rRNA from 1 species
AUGAAACACUCCUACGGGAGGCAGCAGUGGGGAAUAUUGCACAAUGGGCGCAAGCCUGAUGCAGCGACGCCGCGUGCGGGAUGACGGCCUUCGGGUUGUAAACCGCUUUCAGCAGGGAAGAAGCUUUUGUGACGGUACCUGCAGAAGAAGCGCCGGCUAACUACGUGCCAGCAGCCGCGGUAAUACGUAGGGCGCGAGCGUUAUCCGGAAUUAUUGGGCGUAAAGAGCUCGUAGGCGGUUUGCCGCGUCUGCUGUGAAAGCCCGGGGCUUAACUCCGGGUGUGCAGUGGGUACGGGCAGACUAGAGUGCAGUAGGGGAGACUGGAAUUCCUGGUGUAGCGGUGAAAUGCGCAGAUAUCAGGAGGAACACCGAUGGCGAAGGCAGGUCUCUGGGCUGUUACUGACGCUGAGGAGCGAAAGCAUGGGGAGCGAACAGGAUUAGAAACCCUUGUAGUCCGAAGUUC